rnacentral:tRNA from 1 species
GUUAAGUUAGUUUAUUAAAAUAUCAAGCUGUGGAUUUGAAGAUGAAGUUUUUCACUUAACC